GCCUGGGUGGCUCAGUGGUUGAGCGCCUGCCUUUGGCCCAGGGUGUGAUCCUGGAGUCCUGGGAUCAAGUCCCACGUCGGGCU
rnacentral:tRNA from 1 species